rnacentral:snRNA from 1 species
AAAAAGGGUAGGCCCUCUAUUUGGGGCACAACUGGCGAGGCGUUUUACACGCUUUGCCCUGUGGUGAAUCGCGAUCAAGAGAUUUGCCCUACAUAAUUUCUUCACUGCUGGUGGUCAAUGGUCCUCAUAGGUCAAUUCCACCA